AGUUGUAAUUUGCAGAGGAUGCUUCGGGCGCGGCCCCCGUCUAAGUUCCUUGGAACAGGACGUCAGAGAGGGUGAGAAUCCCGUCUUGGGCGGGCGGCCCGCGCCCGUGUGAAGCUCCUUCGACGAGUCGAGUUGUUUGGGAAUGCAGCUCUAAGCGGGUGGUAAAUUUCAUCUAAAGCUAAAUACCGGCCGGAGACCGAUAGCGCACAAGUAGAGUGAUCGAAAGGUUAAAAGCACCUUGAAAAGGGAGUUAAACAGCACGUGAAAUUGUUGAAAGGGAAGCGCUUGCGGCCAGACUCGGGGGGCGGGGUUCAGCGGGCGUUCGUCGCCCGUGCACUGCCCGCUCCCCGGGCCAGCAUCAGCUUCGACGGCCGGUCAAAGGCCCCCGGAAUGUGUCGUCUCUAGGGACGUCUUAUAGCCGGGGGUGCAAUGCGGCCCGUCGAGACUGAGGAACGCGCUCCGGCUCGGAUGCUGGCGUAAUGGCCGUAAGCGGCCCGUCUUGAAACACGGACCAAGGAGUCUAACAUCCACGCGAGUGUUCGGGUGUCAAACCCGUGCGCGCAGUGAAAGCGAACGGAGGUGGGAGCCCCCCCCAGGGCGCACCAUCGACCGAUCCUGAAGUCUUCGGAUGGAUUUGAGUAGGAGCGUGGCCGUUGGGACCCGAAAGAUGGUGAACUAUGCCUGAAUAGGGUGAAGCCAGAGGAAACUCUGGUGGAGGCUCGCAGCGGUUCUGACGUGCAAAUCGA
rnacentral:rRNA from 1 species